rnacentral:rRNA from 1 species
AUUGAACGCUGGCGGCAGGCUUAACACAUGCAAGUCGAGCGAGCGGCGGACGGGUGAGUAAUGUCUGGGAAACUGCCUGAUGGAGGGGGCUAACUACUGGAAACGGUAGCUAAUAACGCAUACCAUCAGAUGUGCCCAGAUGGGAUUAGCUAGCAGGUGGGGUAAAGGCUCACCUAGGCGACGAUACCUAGCUGGUCUGAGAGGAUGACCAGCCACACUGGAACUGAGACACGGUCCAGACGCCUACGGGAGGCAGCAGUGGGGAAGAUUGGACAAUGGACGCAAGCCUGAUGCAGCCACGCCGCGUGUGUGAAGAAGGCCUUCGGGUUGUAAAGCACUUUCAGCGAAGAGGCGUUACUCGCAGAAGAAGCACCGGCUAACUCCGUGCCAGCAGCCGCGGUAAUAC